UCCUCAAAAGAAUGCACAAUAUAUCAGUAAUCAAGAUUCUUCCAGUUUCUUUGAAAUUAUAUCAAACGCUAAAGAAAGGAGCAUAGUUUGAACUCGGAGAGUUUCUUUUUUCAGCAGUGGAACUAAUUAGUAAAUUCAGCAAUCUUCUGCUGUGAAGAAUCAGAAGACACGUUGAGAAUACUUGUUCGGCGGUUCAGGUUUCACGGAGUCCUGCGACAUCUCUACAUUUUCUAGGGUCUCGGUUUCGGGCGGAGAAGAGGAAUCAGGGAUUUUCGUUUCUUUGCGGCGGCUCGUGCGGCGGAGAAGAGGACGUCGAAGGCGGAGGGUGGUUUGGACAUGGUGGUGCGGCAAUGAGAAUGUGGAUAACAGACCGAACCUAGAAUGGAGAAGAUAAAUUGAAAGCAUGAAGUAAGGGGAGAGAGAGAGAGAGCAUUAUGAUAAGAAUGGCGGGUAUAUUGCUGAUUUUCCC
rnacentral:lncRNA from 1 species